AGGACGAACGCUGGCGGCGUGCUUAACACAUGCAAGUCGAACGGUAAGGCCCCUUCGGGGGUACACGAGUGGCGAACGGGUGAGUAACACGUGGGUAAUCUGCCCUGCACUUCGGGAUAAGCCUGGGAAACUGGGUCUAAUACCGGAUAUGAACUCCUGCCGCAUGGUGGGGGUUGGAAAGUUUUUCGGUGCAGGAUGAGCCCGCGGCCUAUCAGCUUGUUGGUGGGGUAAUGGCCUACCAAGGCGACGACGGGUAGCCGGCCUGAGAGGGUGAUCGGCCACACUGGGACUGAGACACGGCCCAGACUCCUACGGGAGGCAGCAGUGGGGAAUAUUGCACAAUGGGCGAAAGCCUGAUGCAGCGACGCCGCGUGGGGGGAUGACGGUCUUCGGAUUGUAAACCCUUUCAGUAGGGACGAAGCGCAAAGUGACGGUACCUGCAGAAGAAGCACCGGCUAACUAACGUGCCAAGCAGCC
rnacentral:rRNA from 1 species